rnacentral:lncRNA from 1 species
CUCAGACCACUGUGUAACUCCUAUCUCUCUCCUGAAGCUUUUGGGUCAAAACCUGCACUAUGUCAGUUCAUUCACAAGUCUGAGAAAUGGAAAACAAUGUGCAGGUUUUGACCCAAAAGCUUGAGGAGAGAGACAGGAGUUACACAGUGGUCUGAGAUUGAGGGACUGGGUUCGAAUCGAGGGAAGUCUUGAGGAGGUGGGAGUUCAGUCUGUUCAGAGUGAGAAGAGAUGAUAUCUAGGGAGAGGAGAAAGUGUGAGAAACUUGUACAGAUAAGGAAGGAACCAAUGUUCAUUCACAACUUGUUGGAUCCAUGAUCUCAUGG